ACGUCAAGUCCUCAUGGCCCUUACGCGCUGGGCUACACACGUGCUACAAUGGCAACUACAGUGGGCAGCGACCCUGCGAGGGCGAGCUAAUCCCCAAAAGUUGUCUCAGUUCGGAUUGUUCUCUGCAACUCGAGAGCAUGAAGGCGGAAUCGCUAGUAAUCGCGGAUCAGCAUGCCGCGGUGAAUACGUUCCCAGGCCUU
rnacentral:rRNA from 1 species